rnacentral:sRNA from 1 species
GCUGGGUGUGGUGGCACACACCUGUAAUCCCAGCAACUCAGGAGGCUGAGGCAGAAGGAUUUUGAGUUCAAAGUCAGUUUCAGCAACUUAGCAAGGCACUAAGCAACUUAGUGAGACCCUGUCUCAA